GUACUUUUGAAUAGUUCUAGCCCUGUUAUACCUGGCUAUGUCUGCAGCACUAGGGGGCUGGACUUCUUCUGUGGCUAUUGCCUGUGCUUCACCUGAGGCAGAUCGCUCAUCAGCUGGGUAUAAAACACUGCCCCUCCCUGAGAACAUGGUCAGUUCUUUGAUUAUGGUUAACGUGUGUAGUUCUUGCUUUCUAGUCUCCAUAGCUUGUUAUCCAGUUUGAUCCCGGCUUCUGACCUUGGC